rnacentral:rRNA from 1 species
UACGAAGGGUGCUAGCGUUGUUCGGAAUUACUGGGCGUAAAGCGUACGUAGGCGGUUUAGUAAGUCGAUUGUGAAAGCCCCAGGCUUAACCUGGGAAUUGCAACCGAAACUGCUUUACUUGAGUUUGGUGGGGGAUGGCGGAAUUCUUAGUGUAGGGGUGAAAUCCGUAGAUAUUAAGAGGAAUACCGGUGGCGAAGGCGGCCAUCUACGCCAAUACUGACGCUAAGGUACGAAAGCGUGGGGAGCAAAC